GGAGCUGCUACUGGGCCAGCUCUGUUUCCAGGCCUGCCUUUCAAUCUUUUCCUUGCUUCUGGCAUGAGUUACCAUCUCUUUUAAGAAAUUGGUUAUGCAUUUGAAAAUACACGUAGCUAUACAUACUUUAAACAUAUCAUUUAGCAAGGAUGCUCCUUAUCGGACCGUUGCUGGGAACAGAGAACACGACAGUUCCAGCCAUGAUAAAAUCCAGUGGCUUAAGACUAGAAAACCCAGAAACAAAUCCAUACAUCUGUAGUGAACUCAUUUUUGACACAUGUGGCAAGAACACACACUGGGGAAAGGACUUGUUUCUUCAAUAAGUGGUGCUGGGAAAAUUGGGUAUCUGUAUGCUGAAAAACAAAACUAGACCCGUAUGUCUCGCCAUAUACAAAAAUCAAAUCAAAAUGUAUUAAAGACUUAAAUCUAAGGCCUCAAACUAUGAAACUACUAAAAUAAAACAUUGGGGAAACUCUUCAGGACAUUGGUCUGAGCAAAGAUUUCUUGAGUAAUACCCCACAAGCACAGGCAACCAAAGUGAAAAUGGACAAAUGAGGUCAUAUCAAGUUAAAAACCUUCUGCAAAGCAAAGGAAACAAACAACAAAGUUAAGAGACAACCCACAGAAUGGAAGAAAAUAAUUGCAAACUAUCCAUCUGACCAGGGAUUAAUAAUUAGAAUACCCAAGGAGCUCAAACAAUUCAAUAAGAAAAAAAAUCUAAUAAUCCAAUUAGAAAAUGGGCAAAAGAUUUGAAUAGACAUUUCCCAAAGAAGACAUACAAAUGGCAAACAGGCAUAUGAAAACCUGCUCAAUAUUAUUGAUCAUCAGAGAAAUGCAAAUCAAAAGUACUAUGAGAUAUCACUACAGUUAAAAUGGCUUGUAUUCAAAAGACAGGCAAUAAUGAAUGUUGGUAAGGAUGUGGAGAAAAGGGAACCCUUGUACACUGUUGGUGGGAAUGUAAAUCAGUAACCACUAUGGAGAACAGUUUGGAGGUUUCUCAAAAAACUAAAAAUAGAACUACCAUAUGAUCCAGCAAUACCACUGCUAGAUAUAUACCCAAAAGAAAGGAAAUCAGUAUAUUAGAC
rnacentral:lncRNA from 1 species